GGGUCGAUAGCUCAGUUGGUAGAGCAGUUGGCUUUUAACCAAUUGGUCGUAGGUUCGAAUCCCACACGACCCACCA
rnacentral:tRNA from 1 species